CAGACAUGCAGGCACACAAACUGCAUGAGGUCACCAGUCAGCAUUGUUCCAUAAGAACAGGCUAAAAUGGGUUUGGAGCCUCAGCUUUUAUGUGCUGGCUUCUUUGCAGGUACUGUGGUUAAAGGAGUCUGAAUCUGCGCAGUGUCUGUCCCCACGUAAGUAGGAGAUGAGGCAAAGGAUCUUUCUCUCCCACUGCCAGAGUAGCCAGCACAAUCUUCCUCACAGGGUAUGCUCCUGAAAUUUUUAGGAUUCCAACUUCAAGCUGUUGUGUGGAAAAAGCAGCUGCCUAAUUGCACAGCUGCCUGCUCUGUGAGGGUGUGCAAAGUGCUGCCAUCUGCUUCUGAAGAUAGAUGGGACAAGAAAACAUCUGAUUGCAGAAUUCAGAUUUGCUUGCAGAAUCACAGAAUCAUUUCAAUUGGAAAAGACCUUUAAGAUCACUGAGUCCAACCUUUGACCCAUCACCACCACGUCAAGUCGACCAUAGCAGUCUAAGUACCAUGUCCAGUCAUCUCUUGGACACCUCCAGGGAUGGUAACUCCACCACUGCCUGCCUUGGGUAGUCCAUUCCAAUGCUUAAUGACCCUUUCCAUGAAGAAGUUCCUCCUGAUGUCCAACCUGAACCUCCCCUGGCACAGCUUAAGACUGUCCUCUUUUCCUGCCUCUGGUUGCCUGGCAGAAGAAGGUGACUCACAUAACCUCCUUUCAGGAGAGAGUGGCAAGGUCAGCCCUGAGCCUCCUUUUCUCCAGGCGAAACAAUUCCACCUUCUUCAGCCACUCCUCACAGGACUUACGCUCCAAACCCUCCAGCAGCUCCGUUGCUCUUCCCUGGUCUCACUCCAGCACCUCUGUGGUUUCUUGUAGUGGGGAGGCCCAAAACUGAACACAGCACGUGAGGUGUGGCCUCAGCUGUGCAGAGUACAGAGGGACAGCGGUUGCCCUGGUCCUGCUGGCCACUCUAGUCAAUGCCAGUAUUUCACAUACUUAACAUCAAAAUGUGGGUGAAACAUCGCUGCAUUUGGUAUCAUAACAAGCUGUACAGGCAGUAUUCUGCCAGCUCUGAAGAAUUACAAGAUGCCAAAAAGUCACAGCGUGGGGUCUUAUCGGUACAAUAAAAUGACAUUUACCACAAGU